AACAAAUCAAUCUGCCUUUAGCAACUUCCCCCGGAAAUUAGUUGGCAACACUGCACUUCCAGUUUGACAAUGGCCAGGAUGUUUUAUGCGCGACAUUUCACUAGAUUAAUAACUUAAAUAUAACAGAGGCCACUUGUUAAGUCGAAACAUGCAAAUAACGAGUUCAUAGCGUAAUAUUUUCCAAACCUGCUGCUGGAGUAUCCAAAGCACUGCAUGCUAGACUCCAAAAUAGUACUUCAGAUGGCAUUUUAGACACCUUAAAAGCUCGUUUCAAACCAAAAUGGGCAACCGAAUAUCUUCUGGAAGGGUCAUUUUACGAAGCUGUUAAUAAAGGCUGGAACAUCAAUGAUUUCAGACGUAAUUUUGUCGUUAAUGAUCACGUGACCCUGAGUGGCGCGAAGCAAGGACACUGACAGACAAGACGGACAGUUUCAGGUUCAAGCUUCAAACUAUGUCCUAUUUCAGACCAUCUGUAUGUUCAGGAACAAAUGAACACGGAUACAGUAAAUGUACCCAGAGACCCACUCUGACUGGUUUGCUGAAGUCAUGACAGCGCUCACUUGCUCUUCAUCAGACUGUGGCCACAGGAGCAACAAUACAUUCAAAUGUAAUUUACUAAGGCAAGAUCUCUGGAAAGAUUUCCUCUUCAUUUAGUCAAAACCUUCACCUAGCUUAGCGCUAGCAUCCCAGGCCACAUGAUCUGCCUAAUGAAUAUGGAUUUCUGGGGAAGAGCUAUCAAAGGCAAUUAACUCAAUUAGCUCUAGUUGCUAACCAAAUCUCCCUAAAGAAUAAACAGCCCAGCUGUAGAGCAACAAAUUCAGAUACACAUGUACAAUUUCAGUCUCAACUCUCCACCACAACUGCGUUAGGAACAAAAACAACAGAAAAGGCAGGAAAGAAGAUAAGAGUGGAUUGUCUUCUCUUUCAAAACCCCAGAACAUCUGAUGAUCUGAUCCAGAGGACACGGCACAGUUAACUGGACAGUCGCCGUCUCGUUGGAGUUUAACAAGCAGGGAAAGUUCAUGCCCUGUGAUGAUGCUCACAAAACGUACUUGCAAUUUUUCUCCACGGGAAUCCCUGACAUGCAUAUUAAUACAAACCCACCAUUUCACCUUCUUCCAGUGUAUCCCCACAUGUCCUACUUUCCCCAACAACUUUGUUGAGAAAAUAAGGACACUGUCUGGGACAAAAAAUGCUUUCCACCACUCUCUCAAGGCAUAUGCCCUACCUUUACUGUGAAACCGUGCUGUAAAGGCAAGGUAAAGAGAAAAGAGACGACAGGCAGAGGGAAGGUGGACAUGGGGUUUAGUCCUCUGAGAUUCUGCAAUACUGCAUAGACAUGUCUUAACAAAGACGCCUUUCCAGGCGCUCAUCCUGUUCCUCCAUCAGGCUCCAGGGGUCCCUGCUGUCCCCAUAAGCGGGUCGGCCCCCUCGACGGGCUCCUGAGUGGGGGUCUGGUUGUUGGGUUGAGCUGUGAUGACGAUGGUGUUCUCAUCCACCAGCUCGCAGGUGGGGUUGGCAAAGGCUGAGAGUGGAAGAGUGAUGCGAUGCAUCUCACGCUCGUAAACCCGCUGCUCGUGCUGUUUCUUGAGGUCACGACCCCUACGGGACAAAAAACAAAACCGUUUCACUUCAAACACUGCCAGGUUUAGUCAUGUUUUUGUCACACAUCAACUGAAUGAAUAGAAUGGGGUAUAAAAGUCAGACACCACAAGUGAAAUUUUUCUUUUUCUUUUUUUCUUUUUAACAUUGUCAAAUUGUAAAUCUCUUUUAUUUUUAUUUUUUUACAUUUAAACUAUUUUUUUCAUUACAAAUUCUUCAGCAUUACAAAUUUGA
ensembl:lncRNA